rnacentral:lncRNA from 1 species
UUACAUCGUCGUUUUACUAGAGUCGGUAGCAGGAUACAGGUCGAUCACAUAUUACUUUGAACACCUUUUGUUUUAAGGUAGUUAGUGCAACGGUAGUCACUUAUUACAAAUACUACGGUACUAUAAUAUUUUCCCAUUACAUUCACUUCGUGAAUAUUCACACGAUGCAAGGUAAUGUAAAAACUAUAUUUUUGGAUAAUGAUAGUCAGAAUUGGGAAAACACACACUCUAACAAGAGACAUACACACAGACACUAGAUGCCUUGGUAGAAGGCUACAAUUAGUAGGAAACAUAGGGUUUUCUAGGAGAGUUCAAACAUUUUACAAAACAUUGUACAAAACAUCUUACGAAACAUCUUACAAAUGUUUUCAUACAAACACAGACAUUAAUAUACUUAUGAUCUCACCAGCUUUAAGCUGAUACUCGCUUUCAAAAUAACUUGUAUUCUCAGGUCACCAAUAGACAGGUACAGGUGCCAGGCUUUUGAGAAGAUGGAGUUCGUUCAAGACUCAUCUUUUAUUUUGAUAUGUAUAUUUUGGUGUCUAUAUAACUUGACAGAACACACAUGUAUGAAAUUAUAUUAUUAAUGCAAUGGAUGAUGUUGUAGCUUGUUUACUACUAUUCAUUGUUUGUGAUACUGUACAUGACGUCCUCAGCCCCAGAAUGUUUCCGCCAUUCAUGGUUUUAGGGUGUGACAGAUUGGUGUUAGAGCAUUGCUUAUAGUGAAUUGAGUAUAUCAACCCAUAAAGGAUAUACUAACUAUAAAUACAUUGGGAUUAAAAUACUCUGACCAAGGGUUUAUACUUUAAAUAUUUAAAAUAUUUAAUUAAGUAUACGUGCCUGCAUUCAUACUAAAAUUAGUGUCACUAAGACAGUACAAAAGUAUUACGAUUGUUGGGCAACACAAUUAGACUUAGAGACAUAUAGUCAAAACUGGGAAGAUAUAGCCUGAUCAACUAUAUUAUCCGAGGGUUGACUAGCAUGUGCCUAAGUGUGGUUGUGACGUUGCAACAAGUCUAAAAACAUACCCACAAUACCACAAUGAGAACAAUAGAACGUAAACUUAAAAUACUAUAGGAGUAUUUUGCAUUACUAUAAGUUACUUAUGUGCUAGAUUCUUAUACCUCCCUUCUCGCGUAGAUUUAAUGGCUGGAUUCCACAUUCUCGGAGACCCGUACUAUCCCAACCACGGCAAUGCAGGAUGGCUAGAAGAUGAACCUGAAGAUGAUCACCCAAUUCCUUUGGAUGAUCAUGAAGCUGAAGGCUUUUCUGAUGGUUUUGACUCAAAGCCAUAAGUCAACAACCUGCCCUCAGCUGAUCAAAACCCUAACCCUCGUCCAGCAUUUCAAGGACCCACACCCCUGUGGGCAAUAAACUUCAAUACAUGGAGCCAUGAACAGGGUCAACCCAUUCCCUACAAUGGAGACAAAAGUUUCUACAACGUCACUAAUGGAGGUUAUGCUGACAGAGUCCUACCCAUCAUGGUUCGUAGGAUUUCUCGGAACACGAUAUUGGGUCAAUCAUCUAUCAAUCAAGUCUUGGAGAUUGACGCCAACACUGGUGUUAACACUGUCCACAUUCGCCAACUAGAGUCUGCUCAUGAAAGGGCUCUGGUUCACAAUGCAGCUCUUUUGAGGGAACUCACUGAAACGUGAGCUGAAGUCAGAGAACUUCAAGCUCAGCAAGAACGGGCUGAUAGGCGUAUGAGGGACAUAGAACAUGCUCUGUCGGGAUCAAGGACUCACUUUGGUAGUUCUCAUCGCCGAUAGAUUCUCAGCAACUUCUCUCUUUUGGAGGUAACCUAGUUAUGUAAAACUCUAGUAUAAUUCCCUAUCUUUGUAAAGCAUAGGCCUGUUAGGUCUUGAUUAGGUUGUAAUUCUGUCAAAAUUUUCCCAUUUUGGUUGAUGUAAGGCCUACUUUUGUUGGCCGUUUUUCCCGAACUUGUUACAUCUGUAAUUCCAGUAAUAUCGAUAGGUACCUAAUCUUAUGGGAAUUAUUAUCCAAAUGUGAUCAUCUAUUAGUUCUAGAUUUCCACUCAAUCGUAUCGUUGGGCUAUGGAGAGUUAGUCCAUGAGUCAUUCUCAUCAAUCCUUCCAUUAAAUUCUUAUCAAUGUUUUCAUCUUCAUAAACUAUAGAUCAAAGAUGCCGCCUCGUAGAAAUCCAAGGAGAAACCUCAAUAACGAAACACCACCUACUCCUCAGUUCAACACUACAGCCUUAAAUGUUGUUGUAGCUGCAACUGUGCCUACAGCCAUGGCUCAGUAUCAAUCAUCUGGUUCCACUAGAGGAGGAACCCCUAUUCAGUCUGUUCAGGUUGAAGCUCGUGUGCGCUCGAGAGAGUGCUCCUAUAAGGACUUCACCAACUGCAAGCCAUUUAAUGGGUUUUAGCCAUAAGAACAUCCUAUGUGCUCAUGCAAACCCUAAUGCUUGGAUCUAGGUUUCUCUAUUGUACAUGCAAUUCAUCCAAGACUUUAAACCCUAGUUCUAGCAUGCAAUUAAUCAUAUUAACAUGUGAAAGGGUUUUAGAUCUUACCUUGAUUGUUAUGUAGCAAUAACAAUCACAAAUCCUCCUUAUAAUGACUUUAGAAAGCUUAGAGUCACAAAUGUCACUCCUCUAAUGGUUCACAAACACCAAGAGCAAGAGGAUGAAGAAUAAAGAGAGAGGAGGCUGCCCAAAACUGUCCAAAACCCUAAGGGGUUACUUCCACACGUUUUUGGUGCUCAAGGGAUCUUUAAAUAGUGAGGCUAUUAGGGUUAUCUAACAAGGAAACCCUAAUUUGGAUGCUUAGGCCCUAAGCAACCCAUGGACUCCUUCCUUAAAGGCCUAGGACGAUUUCUAAUGGGUUUCCCCAUAGAAUUCGUCCACCCCUUUAACAUGGAGUCCAUUAGCUCAAUAUUCAACUAUCAUAAAAUUGACAGUUCUAGUCCCUUAAGUUUAAUUAAUGUCUCUUACCCACAAAAUUAAUUCCUAAUUAAUUAUUGACUAAUAUUAAUUAAACAAUAUGAUUUCUCCUUUAAUAUAUUAUUCUCAUAAUAUAUUAAUAAAUCAUAAUUAAUCCUUUCUCUCCAUAAUUCAUCCUAUCAAGUUGCUUUGGUGAAGGCAACCCAAAAGGACCAUGCACCAUCGGGUCAAGUACAUACCAAAAUAGUUAUGGACUUAGACACUAAUCCAACAGUCUCCCACUUGGAUAAGUCUAAUAACUAUUAUGUGUAUGACCUCAGAUCCUGAUCUACAAUCGUAGCUUUCAAAAGCCACUGUUAACUCUGAUCUUAUCAGAUGCGCGUGUCAUUUAGAUAAGGGAUCAUAUAUUCCUCCAUUCUAGAUAUCGUAUAGAUAUGAGACAUGAAAUUAAUCAUUCCCUCUAUACUAUUUCCCGACUUCCAAUUUAUGACGACUGACAACAGACUACAUUUGAACCAUCAAUUUAGUCUCGGCUCGGUCAAGCGCUUAGGUGCCAUCACUAAAUCAUCGAGGGGCCCAAAGAUAUCGCUUUUAUCCUACUUUGGAUAAAAGGAACGGAUAAACUUUGACUCAAUGCUCGCUUGCACUCACUUACCGAAUUACACACAACAAUAUGUUUUAUAACACCAAGUUACUGGUGUGUUUACAUAUUAUCAAUGUGCAACCGACUCGCAAGAUACAACUCACACAUCUCGGUUUCAAGAAUAUAAGAUGUUAUCGUCUCACCAAUCACUCGUGAUAAAAUCCAUGAAGUGAUCCAAGUGAGCGUGGGUUUAAUCCAAUGCUCAAAUCAUAUUCAUAAGCACUCAUGAACGUUGCAGCAAACAUUUGCUUAUGUCUAAUGCUCUUUAGACAAUCCACACACCAAUUCACGACAGUCUUCAUUCAUACCUACUUCCAACAUAUGAACGACUGUGGCCCGUUCGAAUAAUUUGACUGUUCUUAACCAAUUAAAUUAUUCAGGAAGUCAAAACAUGCAAAGUGAAACACAAGAAUAAUACUAAUCCCAUAUGGCCUCAAACCUUUGAGUAUAAAUAAAACACCUUUUAUUUAUCACCAUAUCGAUUACUCAUUAUUUGUCGUUUCGGGUAAUCAACUUCUUACUUGAAUUACAACACUUGUCCCAUGCUCCUAGCAUGCACACAAUGUUUACCUAUGGUUCUUACUUUGUGAAAUAGAUCACAUUGAACACAUUUCCAAUCCUUCUCAUUUCACAACUCCAAAUCCGUUUUUCAUAAGUGAAAGAAUAUCAAAUUCUUGCUACUUAUAGAAUAUGCUAGAUUCUAACAUUCUAUGCAACUAUCCUUUCGUAAUGUCACUGCACCAAAGUCACAAAGACUAUUGCCAAUGAUAUUACAAAGUCCUCUAUCGGAGAUUGUUACAAUACAAUUCCAUAGAUAUGAUGUCUCUCACUCAAAGUACAUUCCUUUGAACAUCCUUUUGCAUAAAAGUUUCUAAUCUAGACAUAGACUCUCAAUAUCCAACUCCCAAUAUGGAAACAUUUCCAUAUUUUCCAUAUGACAACUCAUUCUUAAUAGAAUCUUAUCUAUUCAUAAUAAUGUCGAUAUGGUCCAUCCAAUACUAUACUUCCAACUACUCACAAGCGACCAAUCCUUGGCGAACUUUGGAUCGUCCUUUGAUAGUUGUUUAAUUAUCUUAGUCAAAACCGAUUCUUGUCCUUUUUCCCUCUAAAUGCGCUAGACAUUUGGAAAAUUUUAGAAUGGUCAAAUAUAAUAGCACUGGCAAUCAAUCCUAUACCCGAAGCGUAUAGGACUCGAUGCAUAAUGUCAUACAUAAAGAUAUGAUACUUUAUCAAUCUUCUGCCAUAGUAUUUUAUGUGUCUCGUUCUUACAAUUCGAACAAUGAAGAGGGAUACCGUAAUCAGAAUCGAAAUUUAAGAACACACUAUGUAUCUUUGACUAAAUCUGUUAACAUUCCACAACCUAAGCCUUUAGAUUUGAAAUGAAGCAUAAUAUUCUCUCCCUUAAUUAUAACAAAACAACUAUUUAACCUUUACGACUUUGCAAAGUAUAACUCUUGUUUUCUAUAAUUAAUAUUGCUAACUUGCAAUACUUGCCUUAAUAAUCAUACAAUCACAACAUUUAUGCUCCCACUAUCAUGAUGAUUAUUAUCAAAUAAGCAUAACACUUAUGCUCCCACUAGCUUUGACAUGUAUUCAGAAAACAGCUUAACUUCCAGAAAACAAUGCCUAUUGAAUUUCAUAGGUUCAUAUUUCUAAUACGUAAUGCUUUGAUAAUCCUUUAUCUAAGCUUCUCAAACUUAUACACCUUUGCCUUAAAUAGCUCAUAUGUGUGUCUAAACAAUUCAGACUAGUUGCCAAAUCUCAUAAUUCGAAUCAUGGAAAGGGAUACCGUAACCAUAAUCGAAUUCGAGAAUCUAAUUUUCACAAUCACUAUCUUCUUAAAAUCUCUCUUAGUGAAAGCAUUUCCUCACAGUCAUUUUCAUGAAAGAUGGAAUCUUAUGACACUUAGAUUUUAAUGGUGUAUGUGUUCCUAUCCAUGCGAAUUUGCCAAAACCAAAUUUUGCGACAAACCCAAACUCAUAUGGACCGAACCUUCUCAAUCUUGAUUUCUUGCCUUAUGGUAACUCGGCUGCCCACCAUCUCUUCCAAGUAGUUAAGCAGCUCAUCCUUUCUUAUCAAUGUACUUUUCAUUGAUCAAGGUCCUUGCCUUUUAUGAAUUCAAAUGAGAACUUAUAGAACUCACAUGCAUAAUUAACUCAAUUGGAACCGCACAGAAACAAGAUAGUGUCAACACGAUAGGUUGUAAACCUCAAGUCGUGUGCUAGUGAAUUUCGAUAAGGUUUAUUUUGAUUUGUUCUUGAACCCUUUCAAGACCAUUAAGACUCCCACUGACUCGUUGACAUAUAAGAUUAUCUUGUCAAUAAACAUUUCUUGACAAACAAAUAUUCAAGAGUUAGUGUAGCUUUUAUCAAGACAAAACACUUUAGAAAAUUGGUCCUCGUUGGUCUUUGUCUAAUCCAAGAAAUCACAACUUACCAUAUUUUAUGAUUUUUAUAAACCUUCUUAAGACUUGUCACUCAAUGUCACAAUCUUAACUCUAAGACUUGUUUUGGAACGAAGUAUGAUUGACCUUUUGAUUUAACCAUUUCUUCAAUUCUUGAUUCCUCUUCUUAUACAUACCAUUGCACUAAGACUCACUUAGAGGAUCAAUUGAGAUAUGGUUCUUAAUCAUUAAGACCUAUCAUGGAACAUAGUAAAAGGUACUCUCCCUUCUCCUUAGAAUAGAGAAACUUUUAUCUUUCGGCUUACUUGAUUCUUCUUAUUCCUUCUGCUAUUGAUUUAAACUCUUUCAAUCAAUUCAGAAUUACACUUAGUCUUAUAAGUAUAAUCAUAUUUACUAAACUUUUAGUAAAUCAUGACGAAUAUCUUUGUUACUCUUGUGGUGGACUUGAUCAACACACAACCUUGUGUACUCGAUCUCCUAGUCCUUCACUUGACACUUUGUCAAUGAAUUAGUCUAAUUUCCAAAUAUGAAAUUUCUCAUUCAUCAUGCAACCAAGUUGUAUGAUUCCAAGUUUCUGUCCAAAUGAAACUUGGGCGAUGAGAAACUUUCCCUAUUUGGUAAAUUCUUGACCUUUCCACAAAUAACAUAAUUAAGAAUCAAACCCAUUAUUGCUAAUAAUAGAAACAUUCAAACAUCAAUUUUUCAUACACGCCAUUGCAAGGAUAAAUAAAUAAUAUAAAUCAAAAUUUAUUUUAUUGCGGAAAAAUUUGUCCUUACAAUGCAAUUCAAUUGAAAAACUAUGUUAAUACAUAUUUCUUAGCAAUCUUAUUCUAACUCCAAGUAGUAGCUUAAGAAUCUAAUCUUCAAGUAAUGCGAUCGAAAUCCAUUUCUUCACGAUUAGAUUCCGCUCACUUCUUCCCUUAAGCUUCCUCUCUUUUCUUCGAUCCUACAAAACAUCAAAAUGUAAUCUUAUCACAUCAUGUAUUAAGAAUCUAGAAUAGGAACUUAAAAGAGUUAGUUAAUGGAUUUUACCUGAAGUAGAGCCAUACGUUUUGACUCUCCCAUCUCUUAGAUCUCUUAGGUAAAUAGGGCAGCUUCGUCUCCAAUGCCCCUUCUCUUGGCAAUAAAAGCAAAUUGACUCUUUUGGAACAGCACAUGGAACUACUUCAGACUUUGCCUUUCUCUUAUGAUCAAACUUUUCGAUCAUGGCAUGCCUUUCGUUGCCAUUGCCUAUAUCCAUAGAGGUCUGGAAGGCAGAUCCACCAAUCAACUUUGCUUUUCCAGUGCGCCAAAUCAUUGCUGAUUCAGCAGCAAUAAGCAUAUAGGUGAGAUCAAUGAGGGUUACGUCGUGGUUCAUCAUAUAGUACUCUCUUACGAACUCACUAUAUGAGUCAGGAAGUGACUGAAGAACCCAGUCAACAGCCAGCUCCUCACAGACAACAGAUCCCAACAUUCUUAACCUAUCAAUGUGUGACUUCAUCUCUAGGACGUGUGCACACACCGACUUUCCUUCUUUAUGUUUACUUGCCAAAAGGGCUUGAGUGAGCUUGAACUUUUCAAGCCUUCGAACUUGUGGGUUAGGGAGAAUAAUUGGAGGAGGUGGAGGAAGUGAAGCAUGAUCUCUUGUUCCUCGAUCGAAUCGUGGAAUAUCAUCUUCAUGUGGAAAGCUUGUUCCACGGGAUUUGGGAAGACCAUAGUUGUCAUACUUUGACAUCUACAAAACGGGAGAAAAAUUAAGUUCAAGUUAGUUGAUUGAUUGAGUCCUUAAUAAAUCACCCAAAUGAGAUAUUAAGGCUAGGACCCAACACAAUACUCUACAACCUAGAAAAGGGAUGUCGUAAUCUAGUUGCAGAAUAUUUGAAGGUAAGUGAAUGACGAUUCACUAAUUUCCACCAUGAAAAACGAAAAAGAAAUUUAAGUUUUAAAUCUAUGAAAACUCCUAGAUCCUUUGAGAUUCAUUGAACAUUUCAAUGGCAUGUUUAAAUCUCGAUAUGCCCCUCGAUUUGUGACUGGGAUGCCGAGGAUCACAAAACAGGGUGUGAAUAACCAUGCAAACUUACAUGGUGCCCCCACAUGUUACAGUCACCUAUUCGAUGUGCCGGUUAACCACACACGAUCCACCGAACUAUGACAAACACUGAGUCACCCUUUGCUACCUUCGCUUAAAACCAUUUAGUGUGCCGGUAAACCACACACGCUCCACUAACGUCUUCGCAAGGGCACAAAGUGUAAUUUCAUGGAAUUGCAUCAAUUCACUUUUGCCUAAGUAACUAAGAUUGGGAAUUUNNNNNNNNNAAAACAUCAAUUGUAAUCCUAUCACAUUAUGUAUUAAGAAUCUAGAAUAGGAACUUAAAAGAGUUAGUUAAUGGAUUUUACCUAACCCAGAGCCAGACGUUUUGACUCUCCCAUCUCUUAGAUCUCUUAGGUAAAUAAAGCAGCUUCGUCUCCAAUGCCCCUUCUCUUGGCAAUAAAAACAAAUUGAAUCUUUUGGAAUAGCACAUGGAACUACUUCAGACUUUGCCUUUCUCUUAUGAUCAAACCUUUUGAUCAUGGCAUGCCUUUCGUUGCCGUUGCUUAUAUCCAUAUAGGUCUGGAAGGCAGAUUCACCAAUCAACUUUGCUUUUCCAUUGCGCCAAACCAUUACUGAUUCAGCAGCAAUAAGCAUAUAGGUGAGAUCUAUGAGGGUCACGUCGCGGUUCAUCAUAUAGUACUCUCUUACGAACUCACUAUACGAGUUAGGAUGUGCAUGAAGAACCCACUCAACAUCCAGCUCCUCACAGACAACGGAUCCCAACAUUCUUAACCUAUCAAUGUGUGACUUCAUCUCUAGGACGUGUGCACACACCAACUUUCCUUUUUCAUGUUUACUUGCCAAUAGGGCUUGAGUGAGCUUGAACUUUUCAAGCCUUCGAACUUGUGGGUUAAGGAGAAUAAUUGGAGGAGGUGAAGGAAGUAAAGCAUGAUCUCUUGUUCCUCGAUCGAAUCGUGCAAUAUCAUCUUCAUGUGGAAAGCUUGUUCCACGGGAUUUGGGAAGACUAUAGUUGUCGUACUUUGACAUCUACAAAACGGGAGAAGACAAAUUCAAGUUAUUUGAUUGAUUGAGUCUUUAAUAAAUCACCCAAAUGAGAUAUUAAGGCUAGGACCCAACACAAUACGCUACAACCUAGAAAAGGGAUGUCGUAAUCUAGUUGCAGAAUAUUUGAAGGUAAGUGAAUGACGAUUCACUAAUUUUCCACCAUGAAAAACAAAAAACAGAUUAAGUUUUAAAUUCUUUGAAAACUCCUAGAUCCUUGGAGAUUCAUUGAACUUUUCAAUGGCAUGUUUAAAUCUCGAUAUGCCCCUCGAUUUGUGACUAGGAUGCCGAGGAUCACAAAACAGGGUGUGAAUAACCAUGCAAACUUACAUGGUGCCCCCACAUGUUACAGUCACCUAUUCGAUGUGCCGGUUAACCACACACGAUCCACCGAACUAUGACAAACAUUGAGUCACCCUUUGCUACCUUUGCUUAGAACCAUUUAGUGUGCCGGUAAACCACACACGCUCCACUAACGUCUUCGCAAGGGCACAAAGUGUAAUUUCAUGGAAUUGCAUCAAUUCACUUUUGCCUAAAGAACUAAGAUUGGGAAUUUUAUGAAAACAUUUAGUUACUUUUAUAAUUCAUUAUACUUAUAAUGGAAGGUUUCGUCCUAUCCUACCCGUUCGGCUAACGACCCUCCACUAGUCAAGAGUGCGGUGGGUAAGAGUGGAUACCCAUUCAAUCGCCAUUUUAUAGGCAAUUUCCUUAAACACCCCUUAUAGACCAGCUUCGUGAAUGAGGCCUACUAACGGUAAGACUGACUGUUUACUCAUACAUAUAUAUAAUAUUAGACUUUUAAUGUAUAUAUAGUAUAGGGUGUAUUUUACACUUUUAAAGUAUUAGGUGGUCAAAUUUAACAAUUAUACUUUUAAUUCUAUCAAACUGUGAACCAAAACUUUAUGGAUUUAAUAAAUCUCUUUUAAUUAUCCAUAAGGGUGAGAAUUGAACUUUUCAAAACAAUACUAGGGUUUUAGAAUUUAACAUUUCUAAAUUAAACUUUUAAUCAACUUUUAAAUUCCAAAACUUGAGGGCAAGUUUUGAAACAUUUCAAAACAUUAGGGUUUAGAAUUUAAAUAUACAUCAAAAUUAAACUAUUUAAUCAAAAUUUAAAUUCCAAAACUUGAGGGCAAGUUUUGAAACCUUUUUCAAAACAUUAGGGUUUCAACUAUUUAAAUUUCAAAACAACAAAACUUUUGGGUUCAAAUUUAAACUAUAAAACCUAAAGGGGAAAAUAUGAAACUUUUCAUAACAACAAGGAUCAAAUAACAAAUAAUCUAAAUUAACAUUUAAUCACAUAAUUAUCCAUAUUUGAUUUAUUUAAUGAUUUCUUGCAAAACAAUUUACCAAUUUAAUCAAAAUAAUUAAUCAAUUAUCACAUAAGGAAACAAAUAUUUUAUUAAUUGAUAAAUAUCUUCAAUUAGAUCAAGAAUAUAGUCAAAUAUAUCAUAAAAUCGGAUUUAUAUUGAUCUAAUAUGAUAAGGCAACUAUCCUUAAGCAAAAACAGCAAGAAAUCCCGGUUUUCCCUCCUUCUGACGAGCCGACUCGCCGAGUCAGGCAUGGACUCGUCGAGUCAGCAUGGACUCGGCGAGUUCAUCUAUGGACUCGGUGAGUUCAUCCUCCAGAACCACAAAAAUCGAAUUUUUCAAUCAUACAAUGCAUCGAUACAAUAGAAACCAGUCUAGGCUCUGAUACCACUGAUGGGUUUUGGUCCUAAGAACAUCCUAUGUGCUCAUACAAACCCUAAUGCUUGGAUCUAGGUUUCUCUAUUGUACAUGCAAGUUAUCCAAGACUAUAAACCCUAAUUCUAGCAUACAAGUAAUCAUAUUAACAUGAGAAUAGGUUUAAGAUGUUACCUUGAUUGUUAUGUAGCAAUAACAAUCCCAAAUCUCCUUGUAUUGACUUUAGAAAGCUUAGAGUCACAAUUGUCACUCCUCUAAUGGUUCACAAACACCAUAAGCAAGAGGAUGAAGAGGAGAGAGGAUGGAGGCUGCCCAAAAACGUCUACAAACCCUAGAGGAGUCUUAGCCACGUUUUUGGUCCUUAAGGGGUCUAUAUAUAGUGAGGCUAUUAGGGUUAUCUAACAAGGAAACCCUAAUUUGGAUGCUUAAGCCCUAAGCAACCCAUGGACCCCUUUCCUUAAGGCCUUGGACGAUUUCAUAUGGGCUUCCCCCAUAGAAUUCGUCCACCUUAUAAUAAAAGGCAAUCCAUGGCCCAAAUUGCAAUUAUCUUAUAAUUACAAUUCCAGUCCCUUAAGUUUAAUUAAUCUCUUUUAGUCACAAAACUAAUUACCAAUUAAUUAUUGACUAAUAUUAAUUAAACAAUAUGAUUUCUCCUUUAAUAUAUUAUUCUCAUAAUAUAUUAAUAAAUCAUAAUUAAUUCUUUCUCUCCAUAAUUCAUCCUAUCAAGUUGCUUUGGUGAAGGCAACCCAAAAGGACCAUGCACCAUCGGGUCAAGAACAUACCAAAAUAGUUAGGGACUUAGACACUAAUCCAACACCAUUGUCCUUCAAAGGGACUGGCGGAGUCAUUGCCUUCUCGCAAUGGUUCGAAAAAACCGAAUCAGUUUUCGAAAUCUGCUCUUGUUCCGAGGAGAGCAAGGUGAAGUACGCUGCUUGCACCUUCGAAACUAAAGCCCUAACAUAGUGGAAUGGCCAUGUUAAGUCACUAUCUCUAAUAGUGGCUAAUGGGAUGGUCUGGGAAACUUUGAAAGACCUCAUGAUUGAGGAGUACUGCCCGAGGGGCGAGAUCCAAAAGUUGGAGGAAGAGCUAUGGAGCCUAACCAUGAAGGGCUCCAACGUAGUCGCCUACACCGCCAGGUUCUGUGAAUUGGUGGCCCUCUGUCCCAACAUGAUUCUUUUAGAGUGAAAGAAGUUCGAGAGAUACAUAUGGGGAUUGGUGCCCCCAUACCAGGGAGAUGUUUUGGCAUCACACCCCACCACAUUUGACAGUGCCAAGCGAUUGGCACAACGGCUCAUAGUUCACGGGGUUCGUACCCCGGCCGCAACAACUACCCUAGCCAUCUCAGAACCUGCAAGAACCGCUGACACCAAGCGGAAGUUUUGGGAUGACAAGAAGAAGGCUAAGGCUGCCAAAAAGCAGCAGGUCGUGGCAGUACAUGCUGCGAUAGCACAUGCCGUCGCUGCUCUGGUAAAGCAGUACACUGGAAGUUUGCCUAAGUGUAACAAGUGCAACUUCCAUCACAUUGGCGCAUGCCGGGAGAUGCAGUGUCUGAACUGCAACGGGAAGGGGCACACAGCCCGUUUCUGUAAAGCUCCGGUGAAGCCAAUCAACCAAGCCCCCGGNUACGGAUGUGGCGAAGUAGGCCACUUCAAAAGAAACUGCCCGAAGGCAGGGUUUGCCGGUGGAGCGACAAGAGUUCUGGCCAUAGGCCAUGAGGAAGCGGUUGCCGACCCCACAGUGGUCACUGGUACGUUCCUCCUCGAUAACUCUUAUGCAUGCAUUCUAUUUGAUAGUGGAGCGGAGAGGAGUUUCGUGAACCAAAAAUUUUCUCAUUUACUUAAGCAAAAAUCACGAGCACUUAUUGAACCGUUCACUAUAGAAAUGGCUAAUGGAAAGACAGAGAGCGCUAGCAGUAUAUUCAUAGAGUGUACCCUAACUUUAGAUAACCAUUCAUUUUCCAUCGAUCUUAUGUCGGUCUCAAUUAAAAGUUUCGACGUUAUUAUCGGCAUGGAUUGGUUGAGUCUUCAUCGUGCCGAUAUCAUGUGUUACAAAAAGGCUGUUCANUCUACCGUCUGGUGAAACCUUAAUAGUUUAUGGCGACAAACCCGACACGAACCUUCGUAUCAUCUCGAGCAUCCAAGCUCGGAAAUUCUUACGAAAGGAAUGUACAACAUUCCUUGCUCAUGUGGUCGAUGUGAGCCAAGAAACGAAGGACAUUCAGAACAUUCCAGUAGUACGCGACUUUCCCGACAUCUUUCCAGAAGAACUCCCAGGAUCACCUCCGCAACGUCAAGUCGAGUUCCGAAUCGACUUAGUUCCAAGGGCUACCCUAGUAGCCAAAUCGCCCUAUCGUCUAGCACCUGUAGAGAUGCAAGAACUGUCCGGUCAACUUAACGAACUACUCAGCAAGGGCUUUAUAAGAACAAGCUUCUCACCCUGGGGAGCUCCAGUCUUGUUCGUCAAGAAGAAAGACGGAUCGUUUCGUAUCUGCAUCGACUACAGGGAUCUCAACAAACUGAGUGUCAAAAAUCGUUAUCCUUUGCCUCGGAUUGACGAUUUGUUUGACCAACUUCAAGGGGAGAACUUCUUUACAAAAAUCGACUUGAGAUCCGGAUAUCACCAACUACGAGUGCUAGGGGAGGAUGUUCCAAAGACAGCCUUCCAAACUCGUUAUGGGCACUACGAAUUCGUAGUGAUGCUGUUCGGAUUAACAAACGCGCCCGCAGUAUUCAUGGACUUAAUGAAUAGGGUGUGUCAUCCUUACUUGGAUCAGUUCGUCAUCGUCUUCAUCGAUAACAUACUUAUCUACUCUCGUAGUAAGGAGGAGCAUAGUCAACAUUUGCGACAAGUCCUCAAAACAUUACGUUCGGAGAAGCUCUACGCGAAGUUCUCGAAAUGCAAAUUUUGGAUUCGACGAGUCGAAUUCUUAGGGCACGUGGUUAGCGAAGAGGGUAUACACGUGGACCCUUCCAAAAUCAAGGCCAUUGAGAACUGGUCAGCACCGAAGACGCCUACGGAAAUUCGUCAAUUUCUAGGCCUCGCUGGCUACUAUGGUAGGUUCAUUCAGAACUUCUCCCGCAUAGCGAAACCUCUUACAACACUGACCCAGAAGGGCGUGGCCUUUGACUGGGAAGAGAAACAGGAAAGACUGUUUCAAACACUCAAACGAGCCUUGUGCACCGCACCAAUACUAUCCCUUCCCAAAGGAAUAGAAGACUUUGUCGUCUAUUGCGAUGCGUCGAAUCAAGGACUCGAAUGUGUUCUGAUGCAGCGAGGUAAGGUCAUCGCCUAUGCCUCGAGACAGCUAAAGACACAUGAGGUCAAAUACACGACCCACGAUCUUGAAUUGGGAGCAGUUGUGUUUGCUCUGAAGAUCUUACUUGUACGGGACGAAAAGCACUAUCUUUAUAGACCACAAGAGCUUACAACACAUAUUCGACCAGAUGGAGCUCAACAUGAGACAACGAUGGUGGGUUGAGCUACUCAGUGAUUACGAAUGCGAAAUUCAUUAUCAUUUGGGUAAUGCCAACGUAGUAGCUGACGCCCUGAGUUGGAAGGAAUAUUCUGGUCGUAGAGUCAAAUCAUUGACUAUGACUAUCCAUUCACACUUGUCCAUGCAAAUUAAGGUAGCCCAGCUUGACACUUUGAAGCCUAAAAAUGUCGCGGGUGAAUCCCUAAGAGGGAUGGAUAAGAACUUGGAGGUUAAGGGUGGCGGAGCUUAUUAUUUCAUGGACCGGAUCUGGACCCCAAAACUUGGUGGUUUCAAAGACUUGGUCAUGAACGAGGCGCACAACACUUGUUAUUCCGUGCACCCGGGAUCAGAUAAGAUGUAUCUGGAUCUCAAAAAGCUAUACUGGUGGCCUAACAUGAAAGCAGAGAUUGCUACCUUCGUGAGUAAAUGCCUUACUUGUGCAAAGGUCAAGGUCGAAUACCAGAAACCCUCCGGUCUACUACAACAGCCUGAGAUACCAGAAUGGAAGUGGGAGCGGAUAACUAUGGAUUUCAUAACCAAGUUGCCCAAGACGACGGGUGGACUUGAUUCCAUAUGGGUUAUCGUCGAUAGACUGACCAAGUCUGCACACUUCCUGCCGAUCAAAGAAACAGACAAGAUGGAGAAACUUACAAGAACUAACAUUAGGGGGAUUGUAAGACUGCACGGUGUUCCCUUAUCUAUUAUCUCGGACAGAUAUAGUAGAUUCACUUCGAGGUUCUGGCAGUCGUUACAAAGUUCCCUAGGAACUAGGCUGGACAUGAGUACAGCCUACCAUCCACAGACCGACGGGCAAAGUGAGAGAACUAUCCAAACCUUGGAAGAUAUGUUGCGAGCAUGCGUGAUAGACUUCGGGAAAGCAUGGGAUACUCAUUUACCCCUUGUCGAAUUUUCCUACAACAACAGUUAUCACACGAGCAUAAAGGCGGCUCCAUUCGAGGCCCUCUAUGGCCGAAAGUGCAGAUCCCCUUUUUGCUGGGCUGAGGUGGGUGAUACCCAGUUAGCUAAAGGACGAGUUCCUAAAAGCACUCUCACAGGUCCGUAAAUCAUGUGGGAAACGACGGAGAAGAUCGUUCAGAUCCGUGAAUGAUUGAAAGCCUCCAGAGACCGACAGAAAAGCUACGCUGAUAAACGUAAGAAACCGUUGCAAUUCCAGGUGGGUGACCGUGUUCUAUUGAAGGUCUCACCCUGGAAGGGCUUGAUACGCUUCGGAAAGCUAAAUCCAAGGUACAUAGGGCAUUUUGAGAUUCUCACAAGAAUCGGCCCAGUAGCUUACAAACUUAACUUACCGCGCGAACUCAGUAACGUACAUUCUACCUACCACGUGUCGAACUUGAAAAAGUGUCUGUCCGAUGAGACUCUUGUUAUUCCACUCGACGAGAUCGAGAUCAACGAGAGCCUCAACUUCGUGGAGGAACCAGUAGAGAUCAUGGACCGAGAGGUCAAGCAAACGAAACAAAGCCCUAUCCCGAUAGUGAAGGUUCGCUAGAACGCCAAGCGAGGACCGGAAUUCACUUGGGAGCGUGAGGAUCAGAUGAAACUGAAAUAUCCUCGUCUUUUUACUUAGUUAUUUGUAACUACUUAUUUGCUUAAAUUCUAAUUUCGGGAUGAAAUUCCUUCUAAGGAGGGGAUGAUGUGACAACCCGAAAUUUCUAUUCGGUACAAACAAUAUCAAGUCAAUAGAAGUCAGAACAGUUGCAGUAAAUUUUCAGACUUUUUAGUAUAAGUUUGAGUAUUUCCGGAUUUACACUUAAAGAGAUAUCAGGAGAGAGGAUGCACUAGGGUUUUGUGCAACUCUGUUAUUCCAAAAUGAUAUUAGAGNAGUUCAUUGCUUGAAUAAAAUAUUUUCUGCCAAAAACCCCAGGGGUAUAUAUAUGGAUCUUAGCCAUAUUUAUUCAUUUGUUACAUUUCCAACUAGAGAAAAGCAAAAUUCUCUCUCACGGAUCUUAGGACUUUCGUCCCAAAACAUGAGUACUUCUAUCUAGGUGUAUUAAAGGGCUUAAUAUGUGUCUUAUAACCUAGAAAUCAUAUCAAAACAACAUGAUCAAGGAGUUUACGGCCCAAGAACAUCUUGGACCGUAAACCCUUCUUAAGGGGACAAAUGAGUGCCUAGUCCUUUCCUUUUGCAAUGAAAUUGGCCUAGACUUGUAUCCUAAUGUAUGUAGGACUAGAAAACACCACAAGAACACCAAGAGUAAGGUGUUCACGGCCCAAGAAGUUCUUGGACCGUGAACUCCAAACAAAAGGGCCAAAGUGUGCUUUAAACUCUCCAUAAGCCUUGGACACUAGCCUAGAUUCAUUCCUAGUUAAAUUAGGGACUUGAAAUCACCAAAAACACCAUACCCAUGAGACAUUACGAUCGUAAUCUCUAAGGGAAUUGGUCCCAGGGCCGUGAACUCUCAAAGGAGUUGAAAGGUGCCCCAAUCUCUUCCACGGACUAAGCCAUCAAGUAGCAAUACUUCUAAGGGACAUAUGAGACUUCAAAACACCAAAUAAACUAAGGCUUAGGAGCUUACAGCUGUAAACUCCUUGUUGUUAUGGUAUUGGAGAGUAAACUCAAGAAUGGGGUCCUUUGGAACCCUAAACCCACUAGCCUUGACCUACGACAACUUAGAUGCCAUCCUUAGGGCUAAUAACACUUAUAUAAGGUAUUUAGCAUGUUCUAGGAGGUCUUAACAUUUUCAAUUAGUAGUUUAAGACUAAUUGGGUACAUAUAUGUGUCAUUAUAUGUUAACUAGGAUCAUAGAGUGUGUUCAGGACUUCACUUGACACCUAGCAAUCCUACAUCUUCAGUUCAUCCGUACCACUCACUGCAGGUGAGUUCAUACCCCUUAAUCAAUGGUUUAAAUGUUUUUAAAUGCUUUAAUGGGGGGAAUACAAGUUGAAUACUUAUAGUUAUUAUAUCAAUAUCAUGUCAUUAAUAACUACAAAACCAAUGGUUUUUCUUACUGUUCAAACUGUUUAUCAAACUGUUUUGCUUCAAACUGUUUUACAAGCUAUCUUACUUAUCAAAUAUAUUUACUUAAGCUCUGUUAUACUUAUUAUCAAAUGCAUGCCUAUGUAUGUAUAGUUAUAUAAGCAAUGUUUAAAAGGCUUAGGAAGGCCAGCCCACCUUAUUUCCUUUUCUCCGUUGGGAUGUGGUCUGGUGGGGUAUCGGGUAUCCGUCCAAAGGUCGUUUAAAUAUCAGUUAUAUAUCAUGUGUACAUAUAUAGUCAUAAAGGUUCUUCCAGUUCAUUCAAUACCCUUGGGUAGCAAGGGUAUACUUCCGUGUUAAUACGUACCAGAUACAUCACUAGUAAGUUACCAUAGGGGUAGCACAGGAGGAUACUAAUAUUAUUACUAGAACAAUGAAACAUACAAUGAGUCAGUUCAUUCAUGAGUCAGUACAUUACUAUACAUGCUAGAUAGAGAAAGAACAUACAUUACAGUUAGCACACGCAGAACAUUUCAGUACAUACAGGCUAGACAUAGAGAGAGUACACUUUCAGUUAGCACAUUCAUUACACAUACAUUCAUGCAGUUAUGUGAACCAUUGAGCGGGUCAUGGCACUUCCUGCCAUGACCGCUUUUGUAUCCCGAAUCUCCUUAAUUGGGGAGCGUAUGAGUUUGCGUAUAGAUCUAUACUGGAUCGACUAUCCUACACCUUGCUGCUCUCUACAGUGGGACUUGCAUGUCUACGGGUGCCAAAUGUCAUUUCUUACGGCGUCUUACAUCGUCGUUUUACUAGAGUCGGUAGCAGGAUACAGGUCGAUCACAUGUUACUUUGAACACCUUUUGUUUUAAGGUAGUGCAACGGUAGUCACUUAUUACAAAUACUACGGUACUAUAAUAUUUUCCCAUUACAUUCACUUCGUGAAUAUUCACACGAUGCAAGGUAAUGUAAAAACUAUAUUUUUGUAUAAUGAUAGUCAGAAUUAGGAAAACACGCACUCUAACAAGAGACAUACACAUAAACACUAGAUGCCUUGGUAGAAGGCUACAGUUAGUAGGAAACAUAGGGUUUUCUAGG